UGGCUUAUGGUGUAAUGGCAGCACUACAGGUUUUGGUUCUGUCUGUUCAGGUUCGAAUCCUGAUAAGCCAA
rnacentral:tRNA from 1 species